GACGAACGCUGGCGGCGUGCCUAAUACAUGCAAGUCGAGCGGGGAUUAUGCUUGAUCGCUUCGGUGAGACGGCAUAUAUCCUAGCGGCGGACGGGUGAGUAACGCGUGGGUAAUCUACCUCGUAGUUCGGGAUAACAGGCCGAAAGGCUUGCUAAUACCGGAUGAGUUCAUGCUUAUGCAUAUAGGCAUGAAGAAAGGGCUAGCCCGCUAUGAGAUGAGCCCGCGUCCCAUUAGCUUGUUGGUGGGGUAAUGGCCUACCAAGGCAACGAUGGGUAGCCGGCCUGAGAGGGUGUACGGCCACACUGGGACUGAGACACGGCCCAGACUCCUACGGGGGGCAGCAGUAGGGAAUUUUGGGCAAUGGGCGAAAGCCUGACCCAGCGACGCCGCGUGAGGGAAGAAGGCCUUCGGGUCGUAAACCUCUGUCAUUGGGGACGAAGGAAGUGACGGUACCCAAGGAGGAAGCCCCUGCUAACUACGUG
rnacentral:rRNA from 1 species